rnacentral:rRNA from 1 species
CAGGUAGUUGGCGGGGUAACGGCCCACCAAGCCUACGAUCAGUAACUGGUGUGAGAGCACGACCAGUCACACGGGCACUGAGACACGGGCCCGACUCCUACGGGAGGCAGCAGUAAGGAAUAUUGGUCAAUGGACGCAAGUCUGAACCAGCCAUGCCGCGUGGAGGAUGAAGGCCCUCUGGGUUGUAAACUUCUUUUAUUUGGGAAGAAACCCAUCUUUUCUAAGGUGGUUGACGGUACCAGAUGAAUAAGCACCGGCUAACUCCGUGCCAGCAGCCGCGGUAAUACGGAGGGUGCAAGCGUUAUCCGGAUUCACUGGGUUUAAAGGGUGCGUAGGUGGGCAGGUAAGUCAGUGGUGAAAUCUCCGGGCUUAACCCGGAAACUGCCGUUGAUACUAUCUGUCUUGAAUAUCGUGGAGGUGGGCGGAAUAUGUCAUGUAGCGGUGAAAUGCUUAGAUAUGACAUAGAACACCAAUUGCGAAGGCAGCUCGCUACACGGUUAUUGACACUGAGGCACGAAAGCGUGGGGAUCAAACAGGAUUAGAUACCC